AGCAUCAGGAUGCUUCUGAGCUUUUGUAAUUAACCCAACACGGAUAUCCAGUCUUGUAAUCAUAAUUUCUGGCUCCACAGCAGUUUUCGGUUUGCUGCCUGUGGAUUUUGCCUGUUGCUUUUUUCCAUUGCCUGAGACGUUAGUUUUUUUUAGCUGAGCAGCAAUCUUUUCUGCUUCAGCUUCUGCUCUCACAAUGCGUUGAGCCUGACUUCCAG
rnacentral:misc_RNA from 1 species